rnacentral:rRNA from 1 species
CGGCCGCGUCGACCUGAAACAUCUCAGUACCCGGAGGAAAGGACAUCAACCGAGACUCCCGUAGUAGUGGCGAGCGAACCGGGACCAGGCCAGUGCUUCCGUGACAUAAAGGCGAACGACCUGGAAAGGUCGGCCAUAGCGGGUGACAGCCCCGUAGCCGUCAAACAGCAGAAGACUCGAGUAGGGCGGGACACGUGAAAUCCUGUCUGAACAUGGGGGGGACCACCCUCCAAGCCUAAGCACUCCUCUACGACCGAUAGUGAACAAGUACCGUGAGGGAAAGGUGAAAAGCACCCCGACAAGGGGAGUGAAACAGAUCCUGAAAUCGGAAGCCUACAAGCAGUCGGAGCCGCCAAGCGCGGUGACGGCGUACCUUUUGUAUAAUGGGUCAGCGACUUACAUUCAGUGGCGAGGUUAACCGUAUAGGGAGCCGUAGAGAAAUCGAGUCCGAAUAGGGCGACAGUCGCUGGGUGUAAGACCCGAAACCAAGUGAUCUACCCAUGGCCAGGAUGAAGGUACGGUAACACGCCCUGGACGGUCCGAACCCACUAAUGUUAGAAAAUUAGGGGAUGAGUCG